rnacentral:rRNA from 1 species
UACGAAGGGUGCAAACGUUGCUCGGAAUCAUUGGGCGUAAAGCGCACGUAGGCGGCUUCAAAAGUCGGAUGUGAAAUCCCGGAGCUCAACUCCGGAUGUGCAUAGGAUACUGGAGGGCUAGGGACUGGUAGAGGCGAGCGGAAUUCCUGGUGUAGCGGUGGAAUGCGUAGAUAUUAGGAAGAACACCGGUGGCGAAGGCGGCUCUCUGGAACGGUACUGACGCUGAGACGCGAAAGCGUGGGGAGCGAACAGG